rfam:Punica granatum cultivar Dabenzi scaffold687, whole genome shotgun sequence.
UUUGGGAUAUGAUGAUAUCAUAGUUUAAUUGGCUAAGGCAUCAGCCGUGCUGAAUAUUAAUUUGCACGUCAGUCUGAUCCCAAA